AUUGAACGCUGGCGGCAGGCCUAACACAUGCAAGUCGAGCGGAUGAAGGGAGCUUGCUCCUGGAUUCAGCGGCGGACGGGUGAGUAAUGCCUAGGAAUCUGCCUGGUAGUGGGGGAUAACGUCCGGAAACGGGCGCUAAUACCGCAUACGUCCUGAGGGAGAAAGUGGGGGAUCUUCGGACCUCACGCUAUCAGAUGAGCCUAGGUCGGAUUAGCUAGUUGGUGGGGUAAAGGCCUACCAAGGCGACGAUCCGUAACUGGUCUGAGAGGAUGAUCAGUCACACUGGAACUGAGACACGGUCCAGACUCCUACGGGAGGCAGCAGUGGGGGAUAUUGGACAAUGGGCGCAGGCCUGAUCCAGCCAUGCCGCGUGUGUGAAGAAGGUCUUCGGAUUGUAAAGCACUUUAAGUUGGGAGGAAGGGCAGUAAGUUAAUACCUUGCUGUUUUGACGUUACCAACAGAAUAAGCACCGGCUAACUUCGUG
rnacentral:rRNA from 1 species